ensembl:lncRNA
GUGAGUUGUCUCAGAGAAUGCCUAGAUAGCAGAUGGUUGGCAUUCUUACUGGAACUGUUUACGCAUCAGAAAGUAUAGUGAUCACCAACUGUAUCCGGAAAAAAAUAGCAACAAUACACACAGAAGAGAUGCCGAGCAAUAGGACAACUUUCAGCAAAACACAGUAUCAAUGGUACAGACACGGCAACCAUGGCGAAUGGCAAAACCUACAAAAGAAGAGCCCGGCGCGGCGCCGAUCCCGGGCCAGCUCCGCGGGAGUCUCAGCGAGGAUGAAACUCGGAACCUCACGGACCUCGAGUGCAACCCUGCCAGGCGACAUCCUGGAUCUCCUGGAUCGACCCCCGCGCCCCAGGACAGGGAGAGUUCGACGCUCCCAAGUAGGGAGUCUCCAUGGAGGAAUUCGUCCUGCUUCACUUCCAGAGUUGAAAGCCCGGCAGCCGUCGGUUCUGCAAAGAGGAGCAGUCGGGCGCGGGCUAGAGAGCAGCUGAUGAAAAUAAUUGUCUUCGAACACACAGCCCUGCGCCCAGGGGCGCGCGUGUGCACACACACACACACACAACUUGCCCCCUCUAGCUACCCAACCUUAGUAUUCCGGGCAUGCGGUUUUCAACAACUUGCUUGACACAAUAACAAAGACAUUUAAAUGCCAGGACGCAGACUUCACUUUUUAACCUGCUGAGAGGAGCUACUUUCAAAGCUUCCCCACCGCGAAGAAACUGACAAAAAAUAUGGGGUGCGCUUAUAAAUUAAACACCUUACCGUCAAAGCUAUGUGCGUUAAUCAGGUUUCUAAGGCAGUAGCCAUCUCUGUCUUUUCCUAUUCACCCAAAUAAUGCCC